CCUACGGGAGGCAGCAGUGAGGAAUAUUGGUCAAUGGACGAGAGUCUGAACCAGCCAAGUAGCGUGAAGGAUGACUGCCCUAUGGGUUGUAAACUUCUUUUAUCAAGGAAUAAAACGAGGCACGUGUGCCUUUUUGCAUGUACUUUAUGAAUAAGGAUCGGCUAACGCCGUGCCAGCAGCCGCGGUAAUACGGAGGAUCCGAGCAUUUUCCGGAUUUAUUGGGUUUAAAGGGAGCGUAGAUGGGUUGUUAAGUCAGGUGUGAAAGUUUGGGGCUCAAACGUAAAAUUGCCAUUGAUACUGGCAGUCUUGAGUACAGUUGAGGUAGGCGGAAUUCGUGGUGUAGCGGUGAAAUGCUUAGAUAUCACGAAGAACCCCGAUUGCGAAGGCAGCUUACUAAACUGUGACUGACAUUGAUGCUCGAAAGUGUGGGUAUCGAACAGGAUUAGAUACCCUGGUAGUC
rnacentral:rRNA from 1 species